rnacentral:lncRNA from 1 species
CUUGUUCAACGUCAAAAUUCAAGGCAAAAUCUACUCAUCAAUCACACUCAUCGGUUCAAAUCAUGUCACCAUAUCAAGAAAAAUUAGGAAUUACCUUCUUUUUCGCAGAAAUCUUCACAGGCACCUUACCAAACAACUAAAUGGAGCAACAACCAAUCAAAUAGCACAGAAAAUACGGAAUAAGUCUGAGAGAAUUAAUCAAUUUAGGUACAUGCCCACGAAUAAAAGAUCUAGAGAUUUCCUCACCAAAACAUCAAAAAGAACAGAAAAAUGAAAAAUGCUAGGCUAAAAAUGCAAACCAUAACUAAUCUCCAUCCCCCUCCCCCAAACUUAUUAAGGAGCUAAUGCUCGAAAAUAAGGUUGGAGGGAAAAAUAGAUAAAAGUUAUGGUUAGCAUACUUACUAAUCCUCAAGAUGGCGGUCCCUGUCUCCUCUGGAACUCCUGAAACUGUCUUAGGAGUUCCUCCUGCAUAGCCAUCUGCCUCGCAUACUCCUGUUGCUGCCUCUCCAUCUCCGCCCGCUGCCACGCCUCAAAAGCGCCAUAGUGAGCGAACUGCUCGCGCUGAUAGGCGUCCAUGGCUUGUUGCUGCAGUCUAACCGCUGUGACAUCAGUGCGCAUCACUGUGAGCUGCGCCUCUUGUUGCUCGGCGAAGGCCUGCAACCGCUGCAUCCUGUCAGUAAGAUCAGUCACAUCAAAAUGACGGACCCGGUCCCCAUUGGUCUCCUGCUGCGUCGGCGGCGGGUUCCUCUUGCACCUCUUCCUCCUCGUACACCUGCUGCGGGAUCUGCUCGUCCGCCGGCAUCCCUGCUACAGCCCUUACGUGGGCGUUUGUGUUCAUCAACCAGUUCUGCGUUUCAAAACGUCCGCCCACACGAGUAAGAGGCGGGUUCGGCAGGGGGAAGUGGUCGCCAUCAGUUUGCACCAAUUUGAAAGGUGGUUGGGCGCUCCUCAAGAAUCGCAUGUUGACCAACCGACGGGCAUUGAGCAGAUUGUCGCCCUCCAAAGCAUCCCACUGAGCGAUUGCGGGACAAAUGCGGCGUGCAAGGGGCGUUAUCAUCCCUCCAAUGGUGAUCACUCCUGCGGUAGUCCUAGAUGCCUUGAAUAUCUGCCUGAGGANUGAUCUACUAUUUUUAUAGACAACAAUAAACUGACAACUAAACAGUAUAAUUGUAGUACGAAAACAGCAAGCAGAGUAUCGUAUCCACAGAGACUGUAAACGAAAUUACUCUAUCUACUUCCUAAACAGACUCUCACAGUAUGCAGGUAAAACGAAUUUGAAGGUGAAUUACGAACUAAGAUUAACUAAAUAAAACUAAAGAGCAUGUAAACUAUAAUAAUUAACUCAAAUAUAUGGAAAACUCUGACCCUAGGGAUGUACUUUCACUAAUCAACUACAUGUAUUUAACCUAUUGAUUCAAUUACCAAUUUUAAUCCAACCCUGAUGAAAGAUCACUAUAUUAUUCACAAGCGUCUCUAACGACCACCUAUGAACGUAGAUUAAUUAAUCCCUUUUCGCAUUCAAGACUCCAAGGAAUAAAUUAACUCCAAAUAGCACAUAAAGAAUAGCUUCCUAUAGCUUCACCUAUCGCAUUCAAGACUCAAGGUUAACACUAUAUCAUGCAUUCCUGAAUCGGCUGAACAAUUAUCGCAUUCAAGACUCAAAUUGAACAGCUAAACAUGUAAAUCAUUGAUCAGAUAAUUCACAAGAGAACAGGCACCAGGAAUCAUGAAUCAUAAGUUGGAAGGCAAAUUGAUAUCAAUAAAUCAAAAACACAUAAUCAAUCAGCUAUGUACAAACCCUAGGUUCAGAUUAAAAGAUUAGCCAGACAUAAUAAAAUCAAACAUAAAAAUAAUUAAAUUGAACGCAAUUGUAAAAACAAAUUGUAUAAAACCGAAUUAAAACGAUUGUAGCGGCUUGAAUCUUCAAUCCUGAUCCAAGCCUUGAAAACUGGAAAGCUCAAAAGUUCUAAAGCUAUAAAACUGUAAUAUGAAUGUUAAGAACUGAAAAACUAAAGCUGGGAACCCUAGAUAGGUCUAAAGAGGACCUAUUUAUAGUCUUAGGGUGAAAAACCAAGUUCUAAACCGAAAAUAACUUGAAAAAUCGUAAAAACGCGGAAGAAAAUAAAACACGCGGUCAAUUCGGCGGCCCGUUCGGCGGUCGCCGAAUGGGUCGCCGAAAUCUGGCCGUUUUACUCAUGGAUCGGCGAUCGCCGUUUUUGCAGCUCUAGGCCAAAAUUGAGUCAGGGUUUUCGGCGACCUGGCCGGCGGUCGCCGUUCUGGUCGCCGUUUUACUCUUAAACCUAAUUCGGCGGUCAACGCUCCUUUGACCGCCGAUCGCUCCUUUUCCGUCCCGACUCCAGAAUCUUCGUCUUUUCUUGAUCUUUGGGCUCGAUUCUCUCAUAACUCUUCUCUUCAACAUGUCCUUAUACUCCAUGCUUCCAAAUCACUCAAUUCUGCAUCCAAACAGUCAAAACUACACCCAAACGUGAAAUCACGAAAUAAUAGGCAAUAAACUCUAAACCAUAAUGAAACGGGUGUAAAAUCGACUUAAACCACAGAAUAUAAACCAUAAAAACUAUGCAAAAUGAGUGUUUAUCAACUCCCCCAAACUUAAGAUGUUGCUCGUCCUCGAACAACGAGAAGAACAAAACAAUAAACACGAAUGGGUAAGAUGAUUGGAUCAUCGAUGCCUCAGAAAAAUAAAACUUUUCGAAUUCCCUCAAAUCCUCAACACAGGAACACAAUAAUCACAACAAGCAUAAUCAAUGGCAAAUUCAACCUUGACAUUCCAACAAUUGACUCUCAAGAUAAAAGUGUUUCACUCAACUCUCAAUUGAUGGAUAAAGGACGUGUAUCACUCAUCGAAACUCAUGCAAUGCAGAUUACUUACCAUAUGCUUGCCACUCGUCUCAAAAUCUCCAUCGCUAAAAGUGUGCCAAGAGUAAGAUCAAAUAGGUCUUUAUUUUAGGUUCUAAUGUAGGGACAUUGGAUUAGGUAGGGAAAUUUGGCUAGUGACUCAAAUAAAUUGAUUACACCAACCUUAUGACUUCACCAUUAAGCAUGGAAAAAUUCCAUCUUCACCUAACACAUCUUCAUAAUCAUCACAAAUCAAGGGGUAUAAUCAUCACAAAUCAUGCUAGACAUUCUUUUAUGCUCUCACUUUUCUAAUAACAACGAAGUCGAUUUCAUGAAUUUUUCACUUAUCACUCGACUUUCUCAAACAACUUUCAUCACAAAUUAUCUUCUUCUUUUUUUUUUUUUUUUUUUCUUGAGCUUAUAAGAAUGACUAGAAUAUUUUUCUUUCACCCCUUAUUAUCAAUCAACCCAUCACAAAUACCACACAACGAUCCCUAUAAACUCCAUUACCCCCUAUCGUCCGGUUAAUGAAUCAAAUCUUAGAAAGGCUCAAACACGGUUAACAAGGGAUUAAUGUUUUUCAGGAAAGUGUUUGGGAUAUAACGUGGCUUACAAAAGAUGGCCUAAGAUCAUCUCAAACUCUUGAACACAACGAGCAACCUCGACCAAGACUCAUGGCAAGUUCUAGAAGUGCACUACAUGCAUGAUAACACUCAAAAACAAAGAACAAACUGUAAAUAUGGGCAGUUAAGGCUCAAUUCCUCACCAGCUUGUUCAACGUCAAAAUUCAAGGCAAAAUCUACUCAUCAAUCACACUCAUCGGUUCAAAUCAUGUCACCAUAUCAAGAAAAAUUAGGAAUUACCUUCUUUUUCGCAGAAAUCUUCACAGGCACCUUACCAAACAAUCAAAUGAAGCAACAACCAAUCAAAUAGCAACGAUUUAGAAUAAGUCUGGGAGAAUUAAUCAAUUUAGGUACAUGCCCACGAAUAAAAGAUCUAGAGAAUUUCCUCACCAAAACAUCAAAAAGAACAGAAAAAUGCUAGGCUAAAAAUGCAAACCAUAACUAAUCUCCAUCCCCCUCCCCCAAACUUAUUAAGGAGCUAAUGCUCGAAAAUAAG